rnacentral:lncRNA from 1 species
GAAGAAAGAGCGAGCCGGGCCGGGGGAAGAGGCGCCGCGCCCGGUCCCGCGCCCGCUCGGCGGCGGACGACGAUGUGCCCGGCUCCUGCUUUGCUCGCGUCCUCCCUAAGACGAUUUCCAUAGUAACCCGAUCAAGUGGCUCAGGACCGCAAACCUGAGGAUUUCGGCCGGCCCGCCGGCGUUGACCUCGGCCAGGUAACGCUGCGAUCUCCUCUACGCCUUGCAAAACCGCCGCGCUUCUUGCAAAGUUCCUUUUGUGGAAAAUCGCCCAGCCCCACGCAGCCUGGGGGAUUUGCAACAGCAUGCUGUGCUACCCAGGUGCUUGCCACGGGCACCCUCCCUGGCACUUCCCCUGCAUCUAUUAUCACAUUAUUUAAAAAUUAUUUUGAUUGCUUCCUCCACUCUCCUUUUUUUGAUUCCCCCAUGCUGCUCUCCUGUAGAUUUACCCCCCACCCUGAGACUAGUGAUGGGGUGGGGGUGCUAAGGAGAAGUCGGGGAGGGGGGGCGGCGGUGGUGAGCACGGUCCAGGGAGUGGCGGGUUCAGAUGGGCUGGAUGCUCUGGGCUACUUGGAGCAUCACACAUUGCUUGCACUGGCAUUGUGGGGAAGGCUGUCAGCGCCAGGGAGCCCUAAGUCUACAGCCUGAUCCCAGAGUCUGUUAGGGAGGGAUGCAGGCUUGCGGGUACUGGAGCACUUGGCUGGGUGGCUGGCUAGCAUCCAUACAUCCUAGCUUUGCUCCCCCGCCCCUCUUUGGGUUUCUCUUUCUUGUUCACCAUCCUCCGUUUCUUUCUUCUUUUUCUCACUAUCCAUAUCAUUCUCUUCCCUUCUUUUCCUCCCUCCUUCUUCCCCUCUUUCCCUUUUCCCCUUUACAAAAAGGGAGGAAUCCUUUGUAACCCCCUGGUUCUGCCAGCAUGAGAAUAACUGUGAAACCAGCAACGUGGCUACCUUAACCUGGUUGUUUUCAGAGCCGUCCUCAUCCAUCAACAUAUUUGUUUCCCCGAGUCUAUUGAUCUCCAUGGAUUGUGCAGAAAUGCAUUCUAAGCUGGGCGACUGUACGUCAAAAUCGGACUUCUGCAGCUCUAAGUACCACAUGUAUUGUAAAGACAGUAUGAAUUUUUAAAUAUAAAUAAGUCACGGGUAUAAAUAAAUACAUCUUUG